rnacentral:tRNA from 1 species
UGCCGACUUAGCUCAGCGGCUAGAGCAACUGUUUUGUAAACAGUNNACGUCACUGAUAAUGACGGGGUCGGAAGUUCAAAUCUUCCCGCGCCCACCA